rnacentral:tRNA from 1 species
AAUGGAGUGCCUGAUUAAAGGGUUAUUUUGAUAGAAUAAAUUAUGCAAGAUUUUGCCUUCAUUA